UACGGGGGGAGCAAGCGUUGUUCGGAUUUACUGGGCGUAAAGGGCGGGUAGGCGGCCACCGCAAGUCGACUGUGAAAUCUCCGGGCUUAACCCGGAAAGGUCAGCCGAUACUGCGGGGCUAGAGUGCAGAAGGGGCAACUGGAAUUCUCGGUGUAGCGGUGAAAUGCGUAGAUAUCAGGAGGAACACCAAUGGCGAAGGCAGCUCGCUGGGACGGUACUGACGCUGAGACGCGAAAGCGUGGGGAGCAAACAGG
rnacentral:rRNA from 1 species